AUAAAGAAGCCAACGUCAUCGAUAAAGAUAACGGCAAUUUAAAUAACCAACAAGAUAAAACAACACCUGAUUCUAGAUUCAAUCCUCCAACUAAUAAUCUAAAUACCUGUAAGGAAGAAGAUUUGAAGAAAUCAUGGUGUGUUACCGCAACGCCUUCAAUAUUACAUUUUUUAACAUUAUUAAUAAUAGGUACGUCAAUAUGGGGUAUAUUGUGGAGUGCAUGGGGUAAAAACUGGUGGAUAGGUGGACCAUGGUUUCGCCUGGCUGCAGUUCCUGUAGCAGGAUGGGCCAGCGGACAAGUACUACACAAAUUGACAACACUUCCACCGCUUCUUGCUGCUUUACUGACAGGAAUUAUAGCAAGGCACUGGGGCAUCCUUGACAUGAGAGAAUAUACUCAUA
rnacentral:lncRNA from 1 species